CAAUCCUUCGCCGCCGCCAGAAAAAAUCCCCCCUCUCUCUCCCCAAUCUUCCUCUCUCACAUCGCCAUGGCCCGCCGCGCGCCACCACCCGGCCGUGCCCCUACCGGCCCUGCUCCGCGCGCCCCUACCAUCCCUUAUCCGUCGCAUUGCCUCUUCCUCCCCCUUCUCUACCACCACAUCGGUGGCCCAAUCGGACCAUCUGGCGGUGGGCACGAUGUCCUCACGCGGAUCUGACUGCCGCCACCAUCGCCGCCUCCACCUCAAGCUGCUCCUCGAUGCGGUUGUCCCCGACGAGCACCACCCCCACCCGACUGUCCCCGACGAGCUACUCCCCAACGGCCACAUCCUCUCCUGCACUACGAGCACUACGGCGAGGAGGACGACAUCCACUUACCCGCUAGAUCAAGAUUGCGUCCACCACCUCGACUUCACCCCAAAGGUUCUCUCCCUGCCUCUUGCUCUCUGGUUUAGGUAGUUGUAUAUGCUCUGAUCUUUUCGGUGUUCAGAUCUCGCAAGUGAUGCUCAUCUCUGUGAUUUGCUUGUUAAGAAAUUAUACUACUUCUUUCGGCAAGCUUGCCGUUGUUGCAGAAUAUCAGUUUGCCCUUUGCAAGGUCCGCUCCUGCAGGUCUACUAGGUACCAAGGAAUGUUUAAAUACUACAUUGGUGUUUUCUAGCUUGGAGAAGCAACAUCAACUUGGGAUGCAGAUUCACCAGUAUAUGUGCAUGCAUCUCAUAGGGGGAGAGAUCUUGCACGGAUGUAAGACCAUUUUUCUUCUGUUAUAGAUUCUAGAGUGAUGCUCUGCUUAAAUUCCUAUCCAUGCAUAAAGUCAACAUCCAAUGAAAUAUGAGCAAAUUAUUUUAUCUCUGUUAUUGUAAUUGGGAGCUAUGACAACCAUAUAAAUGGAUUUAGUAUAUUUUGAUUGCAUAGUUUCUUUUUGCUAUUUUGAAAUAUGAAUGUGUAUCUUUAAUCAUGACUGUUUAUGCAUUUUUAAGCAUGACUAGAACUGUGCUGAAGAUGUGUGCUUAACCAUGUAGUUUUUUUCUGCAGCUAAAAUUCAGCUGAAGCUUUACAAACUAGCUGGACACUAAUUCAUAGAGCUAUCCUUUCCUUUGCUUUGUUUUUCCUGUAGAAUAGGUUAAGCAUAAUCUGAGUGGUGUAUACCCAACACAUUUCUUAAUGGACAUGCAUGCAAUUAUAAUCUAAUUGGGACACGACUAACAAGCUGAUUUACAUGAGCAUGCUCAUGUAUGUUUUCACAACCUGGCCCUUGUCUUGCAGAUCCUCGAAACGAGCCAAGAACCAUUAAAUGUUUUCACAACCUGGCCCUUGUCAUGUAUGUUUUACAGAUCCUCAAAACAAGCUUAGACUUUGUUUGUUAUGCAAGAUCUCUUCAUGUGUCAUAAUGAUACAAACACGAGGUACAUAAUUUAGGCAUUUACAAUUAUAAUUAAGUGAUAAUUUGGCAGAACAACAUGGUGUGGUGUUUAUUCGAGAAGGAUGCACUAUUUUGUCAAGUGUGGUGUUUAUUCGAGAAGGCAACAAAGAGGUAUGGCAGGACUGCUUUGUUGCACAUGUUCGAAAGUUGUGUCUUACCUGCUUUAAAUAUAGUAGUUGAGACUUCUGGGGGCAUGCCGUUUCAUCUCGAGCUUUCUUAACUAAUAGAGAAAUGAAAUAACUUAUCAAAGCCUUUUUGUACGGUUUUUCUUUUCACUUCAAAAACAUUUUCGCAAAUUGGAACUUCAUAGCCAGUUUCCAAAUUCAAAGAAAUCACCUACCAUGGCCUUGUUCCUUUUCUUAAACUUCUCAUUCUGCAUCUUAAACAGCCAAACUCCCAGCCAUUUCAAUGUCAAGCUCGCUGAGCAACUUAAAAUCACAAUUCAUAGCAAAUAUAUGAACAACUAACUAUGCUUUAUAUUUUUGAUAGGUGUUCUAAAACUAGAAGCAUUUCCUUAGUUCAAACCUUGUAUCACGAAUUUACAUGCUACCCUCUUUUGAUGUACUUCAACAAGCUUAUCAACAAAUAUAUACCAGAUGCUACAUCGGCAUGUUAUUAUUUUGUUAGUGUAGUCACAUGAACUUCAUAUGAUUUAGCUGCAUUGUCAUAUAUUUAUUCACAAGAUCUGCUCGUCUAUAUCUGUCAAGACUGGAAACCUUGAGACGGUGAUCAAACAUUUGGUUGAAGGAAUCAGCAAACAGAUGUUUUCGAGCAUCAUGUUGUGAGCUCUGAUGUUCCUCUCAAGACUUGGAUCGGCAACCUGAUGCAAGUGCUCAAGGGAUAUCUGGAGCAUGUACUUCUCAAGGCGAUGUGAUGCAUGUGUAGUUAAUUACCAUGUUGAUUGGAAGUGUUUCGAUCUAGCAACAGUAGCUGAUAUGUGGCCUUGUCUAUAGCAGGUUGUAGAUUAAACUUGCAGUGUAUAGACCAUUUUGCAACUUAAGCUAGCUUUUUUGGAUCGAUGGGUGGUAUGAAUAUGUUGUAUGAUGAUGAAUAUUCGGUCAUCUAUGAAUUAUUUGAAUUAUGGCUGAUAUAUAUAUAUCCAAAUUUGGUGUA